GAGGGUCCCCGACUGUGAUUUUGCCCUUGACUUUCCAGGCUCUGCAUUCGCUUGCCCCAUUACCCGUCUUGUAUGCAAUGUCUGAGAGGAAAAUACCGAGGCAAGUAACAGCGCUGUUAUAAUUUUCUAGGAAAUGGUUUCCAAGAUAAAUAAGGAUUGACAAAGUCGUUAUGCCCAGCGGGGACAAAAUCAAGCCCCUGGCCAUCAUAUCCAACAUUGCCCCAAGGCAAAGAUAUCGGAGCUGUUCCUUUGCUGGAGACGAAGAUCGGAGUGUUUGUGAAAGAUCGUUGUUGGUGGUAAACACUCUUUGUUUUUGCACGGAAGGCCGAGCAGAUAUGUGGCACAGAAACUAGGGCGGAAGCAUGGAAAACGUUGUGGACAGUGUCUGCACAAGAUAUUCGAAGUGAUAGCAAUGGGUGUAACCCUGUUGUAGAUAAUUACAAAUGGGCCACUUUUAUCUACUGCAACAUAUGCCUUUGUCUUCACCAUUUCCACCUUAAUUGGCGAUGUAGUGGGCAUUCUAAUCGAUGCCACUAUGGAGGGAUAUUUGACCGCUUGGGUUUUAUGCAAUUCCAAUGGGUUUGGCCUGUGAAAUCUUCAUUUAUGUGGCUACAAAUCAACUUCUGAAGCUAGGGACGACACAUCGUAAUUCUCAUAACCACGAGAUUUCAUUGUAUAAGCCAUUUUACAGUUUUAUGGCUGUUGUUCUUGGUUCUGGACUGAUUAUAGUGGUAUAUCUUUGUCAUUCUUUUGACUAUGUGAAAAUGUGUUGGAUGCCAUAGAGCUGAUAAAAUGUUGAUUAGCGAGCCCCUUAGUUAGAUUCUUCAAUGGCUUACCAAUUCCCGUAUCAUAAGAAACGUCCAAUAUUUAUCUUCUUUUGAAGGCAUAUGUUGACGAUCUGUCUACUCAAACAGAUAAUGAUAUCACCUUCAAAAUGUGAGGUUGUAAUUCAUUCCCCAAUCUCGUCACUAGGUGGAUUGCCAUAUUACCUAUGUGCUUAGAUUAUCGGCUAAAAGUAAUGAAACCUCCUAUCAUGUAAAUACAACCUUAGCCAAGGUAUGAUAAUAUUCCCAAAAAAACUCUAUUGGAAAAGUAUUAUUAGUUCCUGCCGGGGAGGCUAUAAUAGUUAACUCGUUAUUAAUCUGACCACAGACCACCAAUCAUAUUUAGUUUUGAUGCAAAUAUUUUCUUGUUUGGUUGGUUUCUGCCUGUAAAGAUGCAAACUAUUUAUGCGAAUUAUUACCCUCAAGUUUUUUUGGCAUUGGCAUAUUGGAUACACUGGCGGUUUGCAGGGGUUUGCAGGGCUUUGUGCGGUUCUCAACAAGAGAGAACGCACAUCUCCAGAGGCUGUAGGGCUGUCAAAGCAGAAUCCUCGACUGUUGCAGAGGUCUGAUCUCGGGAAAAUCGAGUAUGAGCGCGAGGAACAAAGCGUCCAGACAGAUGGCUAGUAGGGUUUUCAUUUUGGGCAUCCAGGCCAGAAGAACAGUGUAAAUUUUUUUUUAUAAAGGCAUGUUACAGUUUUUUAAACAUUCAGCGAUUCUAGAGGCGAUUCUGGAGCACGACGUGGCCUUCUUUUCCCCUUCAGAGAUUUUGCAGCGAAAUCUGCUCUGUUCUAGCAAAGGUUUAUGGCGUGAUGAUGUUAAUAGAUUGCUUAUGACAGCGAUCAAAGUUGGAUUAUAAUGACUGGGUUGGGCGCAAGGGGUUGACUACUAGGCAUUACAGCCUAGAUAGGCCGAUGUUGGACUUCAGAGGCCAGAGCUAGCUUGGAAACAAUGGAAUCAAGUUACAAAUCUAAGAGACCAAAUUUCUGGACAAGUCUUCUUUAAUUUCAUACAUCCUAUUUGCAAAAUGUGAAUGCAUUGGCAGGGCAUGUGAAUUAUUAGACAGAAUGCCUCAUAAAGAUUUGGUCUCAUGGACUGCAAUUAUUGCAGAAUAUGCGCAUAAUAGAUUAGUUAAAAGUCUCUAGACACUUUCAAGACAAUGCAAUUGGUAGGCGUAAAGCAAGACUCAAACCACCUUUGCCAGUAUCCUCCCUGCCUGUGCCAAAAUGAGAGACUUGGAUAGGGUAUGGACACUCAUCGAUGACGUGACAAUUUGAUGAUUGUUCUUUUCUUUCCUUUUGAGCCGACUGUUGUUUGUAAUGAUAUUCUUUGACUGGCCGAGAUGCAUAAUGAAAUUAUAUAAUUUAUUUGUAACAAUCCUUUUGGCCAGCUUCCUUUUGUGGCAAUUUAUUUUGUUGGAGCCGGCUUAGAAGGAACACUGCACAUAGGGGUCAAUUUAGUAGCAAAGGGAGGAUGAUUAAGUGCACCUACAAAUUAAUCUUGAUUUCCCCCAAGCUACUGCUGUAAUCGAUAAAGUAUUUUCACAGCUUAUCAAAGGUAUUUACGAAUUCCAUAAACCACUAAAUAUUUUGUCAUGGUAUUAUAGCUCAUUUUGGAAGUGAUAAUUCUAAGGUGAUCCAGGUUAAGAUGCAUAGACCUGUUGAUUUGCAACAAAUCGAGGGUUGUCCCACGGCACAGGUUUUAGUGUAUCCGGCUAGCCUUUCCAGCUGUAGAGUAAAUGAAGUCAUUAACACGUUUAUGGUUCCUCUUUUGCUUAUGUGAACAACCACACUAUAUGAUGUUUUAUCACCUGAACACUUGGUUUGGUUUAGUAAAUUCUACCAUGAUAUCUACUGUGUAAACUACCUUUGAGAGCAAAGCACACAGAUUAAAAACUUUGGCUCAAUGCUUGGCUUUAUUUUGAUGGGAUGUUUAAAAACUUCUAAACCACAAAUGAACAGUUUAUUAAUUGUACAAUAUCUUUUUUUUGAACUUAAUGCCUGUAGCUGUUUUACAAAUAUUAGUACAAAUUUUGAGCUUGGCUAUGAAGCAAUGUUGACCAGUAAUGAUGUAACGACAAAGCUCUCAAUUUUUCAUGGAUAGUUUGGCCUGGUUUGGCUGUUAUAUUGAUUGUGGUAGCCAUGUUAUAUAUUUCUUGUUCAAGUUAUUUAUUGCUAAUUAAUGAAAGGUCUUUUGUUUUCAUUGUUUUCUUAUUAAUUACAAUAAGCAGGUCAUAUAUUUCUAUGACAAAAUUCAUUUUUGGAGUUUGUUAAUGCUGCAAAAUAGACUGCAUUAUAUGGAGUAAUGCAUGAACUAGUUAAAGUAGGAUGCAUAGCAAAGCAAUGGGAUACUUUACUAAGAUAAUCUCAAAGUGUCCUGAAGCUUGUAUUAUAGAGAUUGUGGGAUUCUUCAAGAACUUGGACUUGAGGAAGUAAAAGUAUUUGAGUGCAAGAGCAUAUGCUCCAAUGCUUGGUAUCUCCCUCCUGCCCCCAACCAAGUGAAAAUCAUGGCAAAUGGCAUUAUAGAUUGAGAGAGGAAAUACCGGAACAUCAAGCGGCCGUGAGGUACAAAUUCUUUCUAUAUUUCUUUAUACAGUUUAUUUGGUCUCUAGUCAAUUUGAAAUUGCUCUCAUAAAAUAUGAUUAUUCAAUGGGGUUGUUACUUUUCUAUCUGUAUCAACAAACAUGUUCCAUUAGGUGAUCCAUGUACAUUUUAGUGUUUUGUUUUGUAAGUUGCAAACUGCAACAAUACAGUAGAUAGUUUCUCUUUUUUAAUAAAUGCUCAUGCCUAUUCAAAAGCACAGAGUCAAUGUGUUCCAUGAUAGUUUUGUAGUUAGAGAAAUGGAGCUAAAAUUAGUUCUUAUAAACUAAUUCUAUAGUGGCAAUGCAAACGGAUCCACAAAAGCUAUGCAUAUAUUGAUUGGCCCAAAUGGCAAGUGUGCACAUAGAAGUUUUCGGAUCUACACUAGAAACAAACAGGGAGCUGGAGAAGCAUUUUGACAUUCAAUGUGGACAAGCCAGAGCUAUCAAAGUUCUGAAACCGGGCGCAAUGGAUUUGAUUACCGGGGCAAUGAUUUCCCAACUAUGGAAAAUAGUUUGGAUAAAGAGUCUUCGGACGCUUCGCCUACAGUUGAAUAUCAUAUAUACACAAACACAUCAGACAACACCAAUACCAGAACUAUUUUUCCAGCCUCUGGCAGGAACUUCGCUGCUCUGCAGAGCAGCUCUUGUUUCUAAUGGCAUGUUGAGGAAUUAAGAAAAGAUAAUUUACUUUAAAAUAUUUCA